rnacentral:rRNA from 1 species
CAAUACAUCGGAACGUGUCCUAUCGUGGGGGAUAACUGAUCGAAAGAUCAGCUAAUACCGCAUAAGACCUGAGGGUGAAAGUGGGGGAUCGCAAGACCUCACGCGAUUGGAGCGGCCGAUGCCCGAUUAGCUAGUUGGUGAGGUAAAGGCUCACCAAGGCGACGAUCGGUAGCUGGUCUGAGAGGACGACCAGCCACACUGGGACUGAGACACGGCCCAG